UUGCUUCAGCAGCACAUAUGCAAAAAUAGGAGUGAUGCAGAGAAGAUUAGUGUGGCCCCCUGCACAAGGAUGGCACUUUUGGACAGGUUGCUCCCUAAAGGUAA